rnacentral:rRNA from 1 species
GGCGUGCCUAAUACAUGCAAGUCGAGCGCAGGAAAUCAUCCGAACCCUUCGGGGGGACGUUGAUGGAAUGAGCGGCGGACGGGUGAGUAACACGUAAAGAACCUGCCCUCAGGUCUGGGAUAACCACGAGAAAUCGGGGCUAAUACCGGAUGGGUCAUCGGACCGCAUGGUCCGAGGAUGAAAGGCGCUUCGGCGUCGCCUGGGGAUGGCUUUGCGGUGCAUUAGCUAGUUGGUGGGGUAAUGGCCCACCAAGGCGACGAUGCAUAGCCGACCUGAGAGGGUGAUCGGCCACACUGGGACUGAGACACGGCCCAGACUCCUACGGGAGGCAGCAGUAGGGAAUCUUCCACAAUGGACGAAAGUCUGAUGGAGCAACGCCGCGUGAACGAUGAAGGCCUUCGGGUCGUAAAGUUCUGUUGUAAGGGAAGAACAAGUGCCGCAGGCAAUGGCGGCACCUUGACGGUACCUUGCGAGAAAGCCACGGCUAACUACGUGCCAGCAGCCGCGGUAAUACGUAGGUGGCAAGCGUUGUCCGGAAUUAUUGGGCGUAAAGCGCGCGCAGGCGGCCUCUUAAGUCUGAUGUGAAAGCCCCCGGCUCAACCGGGGAGGGCCAUUGGAAACUGGG